UCUUGGACCAGAGAAUCAUUCUCAUUAAAAGAUUUGUGAUCAUCCAUUGCCAUAGAGAAACGCUUUUCCAAAUUUGAGAAAAGGGUUAAGCCAAUUUCACUUGUGGUAGAUAGGAAUUUUCCAAUUGAAGAGUCUCCAUCAGAGCGUCACCUGCAACGUUAACAGAACAUCCUUGUAAGUGUCUCUGCAACUAGCCAUAGAUUCACAUAGUCUUUGAGGUAUUUCUCGAAUUACCACUGCUUCAUGUUUGAGUUCUGAUAUCUCCCCCAUUAAAUGAUCAUUCAACUGUAAUUGUUCUAAGUGCUUCUUCUGCAAACAUAUGCAUGCAAUACAUUAAGAUUAAAUGCUUGCACCAGAAGAAUAAAAUAGACAGAACUGAAUAGCAUGAUCAGCCAAAAACACUUUGCUACGUUCCAUCAAUUCACAGAGAUAUCAAGAGUUCUCCUAUUUGGAAUAAGACGUAUACCUAGAAACAGUAUUUAUUUAGAGGUCUCAGAUUGAAAAGAAAGCUUUCUACUGGUAUCAAUGCAUAGCUAACACCAGGAAUAGAUGGAAGCUUUGUGUGUGGACGGGAAUUUACAAGUGUUAUUCUUCUAAUUUUCAAAUGAGCUAAAAAUGAAAAACAAGCACACUAAAGAGUCGUCAUUGCACUUUCCUGUGUCAUAAAUUGCACAUUGGAUGCAUUUCUACAUCAUAGUUACCAAUAGUAGUGGUGCGUACUGUAUAAAAAAGUGCCCAAUGAAAUGGAACUAUUUGAGGAGAGCGAACAACAGCAACUGAAUACAGUCAUCAAGAACAUGCCACUUUCAAAUAUCAAGCUACCUCACUGAAUUAUCACCGAUGUAUGAAAUCGAAAAUUGAGAAAGGGCAAGAGCAAAAGGCAAACCUCGAGUUCAUUCUUCUCUUCAAGGACAAGUUCUAGUUGCCUUUUGAGAUUCUGGACCUCUACUUUGUAAUCCUCAGUUGAAGAACCCUGGCAGCGAUGUGGAUGAGUCUAAUUAAAAACAUUAUGUGGCUGGAUAGUGCUACUAGUAUUAUCUAAACAUUGAAAAAUAAAAAGGUAUCACUAUCAUAGCUAUUUAUCACAUUGAACGAGCAAUAUCAAAGUUUGAAAAUGCUAGAACACUAGAAGACUAAUUUAAUAAAGGUCAUGCCAGUAUGUAUGCUUUAUUUAUUUAUUUCUGUUAAGUUACCAAAGAUGGAAACCCUUGGCUUCUAAUUCAACAUUGUUUUUUUAUAUGGUUUAUGAAUGCGAUGGAGAGACGAACAACCACAUGCAAACAAGAAAACUUCGAACACUUGAAACAAAAAAUGAAUUGGACCAAAAUAUAGGAGAAUUAGAAAAGGUGAACAUCAGUUCUCAAGAGGACAUCCUUGAUAUUCUCAUCUCAGGCUUUUUCCUUAGUUUAACACAUAGGAAAGGGACAAGUAGCAAUUGCAGAUAACAAGACUGAGCAUAUGAAAAACUUAACAUAAACUUACUAGAGUAACAUCACCAAAAGGAAAGGAUUGAACUUUUCUUGCAGGAGUCAUUUGAAUUGAAUCAAGGUCCGCGAUGAAUCCUUUGUUCAUUUUCAACCAUGUGUCUUCAUCGGCCACAUUGCUAUAGUUAUCUGGUAGAGGACUGAAAUCUGGCAGCCUGGAGUAAUUGGACCGUUUGCCAACAAAGGCAUUGGAAUCUGCCUUGAAUGUAGGGGUUCUGAAAACAUCAUUUUUGAAGACACUGUUGCUGCCACUGAAUUCUUCCUUGAGGAUUUGUCUCCCAGCAUUCUGUUCCUACGACCAGUAGUUAUUUUAUUAUAAGAAUAUCAGUAACCUAAGAGAUGAGUAGAAGUUUUUGUUAAUGCAUAAGAAAUCACAGAAAGAAUAGUAAUGAUUACAUGCAAUAUAUUAAAUGAAUACAAAUAGAAUAAAUAUAUAUUCUUUGCCAUGACUGUUGUGACGCAAAACUUGACUAUAGAAGACCAGAAGGGAACAAAUUUGAGGUUACAUAUCUUGCUUACAUCUGUACAUGAUCAGUUUGCACCAGGUAUGUGCUUUAUAUCACUCUAUUCUUUGGCAUCCUUCAGAUGCUUCAUUAAAAAUCAUGCUAACAGUCAUAUAAAUUUGUCUUUAAGAAAAUUUUGAAAUGCUGCAUUACUAAUAUAGGCAUAAAUGAUGGAGAAAUGCAAGAACCAGGGCAAGUUACUCUUGUUUACAGCAAGAAGAUAUGGACCAAUAGUGGAUGAUGGUAAAACCAGUAUCUGCUGCCAAUUUGCCAAUAUCAAAGUACUAGAAAGAAGGUUAUGCUAUCCGUGUAGUGACCUCUGCUGGACAAAAGUGCCGAGAAAUUAUGGCGUUUUGCUUUGCUUGAAAUAUACCUGGAUAGAGUUCCUAUCACUAUCUGAAAUGGAGGCACCGGUACUGAGAUUGUCAAUUUUCAUCUGCUGCUCUUUGAUGCAUUGAUCACGUUCCUUGUGUGAUUUCCUCUCCUCUUUCAGUUCCAUCUCAAGCUUUUCUCUCUCCAAUUCGUACUGGAAAUUGGAAAUUGGAGCUCAAUUAACACAAGUUAUGAGCGGUGUUCAUGAUAAUGGUCAGAUCAUGUUAGCGUAGAAUCUACCUUCAGCAUGUCAUUUCUCAACUUCAAAAUUUCUUGCUCCAGUACUUCAGCCCGGGAUCCCUGAACAAGUAUUUAACUUAAUCAAAUAAUAUCUAAAUCUUUACCA